UACGGAGGGGGCUAGCGUUGUUCGGAAUUACUGGGCGUAAAGCGCGUGUAGGCGGGUCUUUAAGUCAGGGGUGAAAUGCCAGGGCUCAACCUUGGACUGCCUUUGAUACUGGCUAUCUUGAGUAUGGGAGAGGUGUGUGGAACUCCGAGUGUAGAGGUGAAAUUCGUAGAUAUUCGGAAGAACACCAGUGGCGAAGGCGACACACUGGCCCAUUACUGACGCUGAGGCUCGAAAGCGUGGGGAGCAAACAGG
rnacentral:rRNA from 1 species